GCAGUCGAGCGAAUGGAUUAAGAGCUUGCUCUUAUGAAGUUAGCGGCGGACGGGUGAGUAACACGUGGGUAACCUGCCCAUAAGACUGGGAUAACUCCGGGAAACCGGGGCUAAUACCGGAUAACAUUUUGAACCGCAUGGUUCGAAAUUGAAAGGCGGCUUCGGCUGUCACUUAUGGAUGGACCCGCGUCGCAUUAGCUAGUUGGUGAGGUAACGGCUCACCAAGGCAACGAUGCGUAGCCGACCUGAGAGGGUGAUCGGCCACACUGGGACUGAGACACGGCCCAGACUCCUACGGGAGGCAGCAGUAGGGAAUCUUCCGCAAUGGACGAAAGUCUGACGGAGCAACGCCGCGUGAGUGAUGAAGGCUUUCGGGUCGUAAAACUCUGUUGUUAGGGAAGAACAAGUGCUAGUUGAAUAAGCUGGCACCUUGACGGUACCUAACCAGAAAGCCACGGCUAACUACGUGCCA
rnacentral:rRNA from 1 species